GUUAUUUGAGGUGGGAAAGGUUCCCCACGCGCUAUCCAAUGGGUAGUUACCAGAGAUCAGGAGUGCCGCCCUGCUAAUAAC
rnacentral:ncRNA from 14 species